AUUCAAUAAGUCAUCCAGGAACAUUUCAAGCAGUCUGUCAGGCAGCUCCAGUUGCAUUUAAUGGUGAAAACUGACAAAAGUGUGAAUGUAUGUGUUUUAACCUAAACUAAUACUGUUUUGUGUGCAUUCCAGGUCAAUGUGGAGUUCAUUGUGAAGCUCUCACAAGCUUGCAGAAUGUGAAAGCAAGCAGAAUAUCUUGAGGAUUUAUGUAACUCUCCAUGCAGACGAAAAUGAUCAGGUUUGUAAUGGAUACCAAACUUGUCACAGACUGAGUGACUUUUGGAAGUGGGAGGAGUGUGGUUGACAAGAUCAGAUUUUUUGACAAUUUGACCAGAAUCUUGGAUGGAAUCCGCUGUAACUUGACUAGUACAGCAGUUUAGCACUUCUUUCCUUCUUCCCUUCUACAUUAAUAACCUUGGGCAACUGAACAGAGUACUGGAAUAAGCAGGUGAAAGAGCUACAGCUAUGUAUUAUAGGAGAAUUGCCCAACAUGUGUCUCUUGGACAAUGGAAAUCACAAUCAGGAUUUGACAUUUAUUUGUGGAGGCAGGAUUGUAUCUGGUUGUGAGUUCCCGUUUUUGGCACGUUCUACAAUUUGUGUCAGGUCUAGACUCUAUUGGGCCAUUAAUGAAAAGACAGAAGAUAGGUAAAGACUUGAAUUACAUCUGAAGUGAGCAAAGUGUCUAGCUAUUCCAUAGCACUGUGUUGUAAUGAAGUGCCUGAAGCUAGUUUUGCAAAUGAUUCUCUUCAGGACUCUCUCAGUCUAUCCCCACAGGAAAGCCAGACUGUCUAGCUGGCAACCAUCAGCUGAGCAAAUGGUUUUGGGGGGCAGGUGUGAAAGGUAUUGUGUGCCCCAUUGGUGUGAAGUAUGACUCUUUGGAAUUGGCCUGAAUCAGAGGUCAUUCUGUACCACAACGCCCUAUUGGUGUAAGGGUUUGGACAGAGAAUCUAUACAUUUGCUCACUUUACCCCUCCCUCUCUCUUACAAACAUCACAAUGAAGAAGCAUCUCUCUGUCACACCAUUGCCAUGGGCAGCACAACUUGGUGGCCAUAUUGAGACAGGCAUGUGUCCUGUUCUGAAGAAACCAUGACCAAAAAUGAUACUUUAAAUGUCUAUAGUUAAGGUAACUACAAGUUUGUGUGCUGUC